rnacentral:rRNA from 1 species
ACACCGGCAGCUCAAGUGGUGGCCAUUUUUAUUUGGGCCUAAAGCGUUCGUAGCCGGUUUGAUAAGUCUCUGGUGAAAUCUCACGGCUUAACCGUGAGAAUUGCUGGAGAUACUAUUAGACUUGAGGCCGGGAGAGGUUAGCGGUACUCCCAGGGUAGGGGUGAAAUCCUAUAAUCCUGGGAGGACCACCUGUGGCGAAGGCGGCUAACUGGAACGGACCUGACGGUGAGUAACGAAAGCCAGGGGCGCG